rnacentral:lncRNA from 1 species
AGGGACACGUAUGACGUGCGAUUUCCCUUUGCGUUAUUCAGAAAACCGCAAUGCACCAUAAAGGCGUCUCCAAUCACUGGGUUGGACUCCGGAGGGAACUGGGCCAGCCCUGGAGAUGGGUGGAUGGCGCUGCAUUUAACCACCCCUUUGAGGUCAGAGGAGCCGGACUCUGCGCUUACCUGGAUGACGGCGUUGUGAACAGCGCGGGCUGCGACACCGAGAGGAAGUGGGCCUGCAGCAAGCCGGACGGACAGACGGGGGGGAAGCAGAGAGACCCAAAAUGUUAAGAGCAGCCAAACUGCAGGCUUAGGCUACAGCGUGACUGUAAUAAUAGCCCCGUGGCGGGAACCAGGUUGGACCUCUCUGGACGACGCCAGAACAAAUCUUGGCAGUUUACCUCUAACUAACAUUAUUCUCUAAAUGUCACCGUCAUAGACUGUGAGGACAGACAGAUCCGUAGUCAUCUAGAAGCCCAGUGCUAACAUCUGACAAUUCUGAAGGAUCUGAUUUUUAAAACAAGUGAUCUUUUUAACCAAGCCACAGGAAAUCAUAAGAACACAAGAACGGCCAUCCUGGGUCAGACCAAAGGUCCAUCUAGCCCAGUAUCCUGUCUUCCGACAGUGGCCAAUGCCAGGUGCCCCAGAGGGAAUGAACAGAACAAGGAAUCAUCAAGUGAUCCAUCCUGUCGCCCAUUCACAGCUUUGGCAAACAGAGGCUAGGGACACCAUCCCUGCCCAGCUUGGCUAAUAGCCAUUGAUGGACCGAUCCUCCAUGUAUUUAUCUAGUUCCUUUUUUAACUCUGUUAUAGUCUUGGCCUUCACAACAUCCUCUGGCAAAGAGUUCCACAGGUUAACUGUGUGUUGUGUGAAGAAAUACUUCCUUUUGUUUGUUUUAAACAUGCUGCCUAUUAAUUUCAUUUGGUGACCCCUGGUUCUUGUGUGAUGAGAAGGAGUAAACAACACUUCCUUAUCUACUUUCUCCACACCAGGCAUGAUUUUAUAGACCUCUAGCAUAUCUCCCCUCAAUCAUCUCUUUUCCAAGCUGAAAAGUUCCAGUCUUAUUAAUCUCUCCUCGUACCUUUUUGCCUCUCACUGCUUCUUUUACUUUGUUGUUUAG